AGCGAACGCUGGCGGCAGGCUUAACACAUGCAAGUCGAGCGGGCCUUUCGGGGUCAGCGGCGGACGGGUGAGUAACGCGUGGGAACGUGCCCUCUGGUUCGGAAUAACUCAGGGAAACUUGAGCUAAUACCGGAUACGCCCUUUUGGGGAAAGGCUUGCUGCCGGAGGAUCGGCCCGCGUCUGAUUAGCUAGUUGGUGAGGUAACGGCUCACCAAGGCGACGAUCAGUAGCUGGUCUGAGAGGAUGAUCAGCCACACUGGGACUGAGACACGGCCCAGACUCCUACGGGAGGCAGGAGUGGGGAAUAUUGGACAAUGGGCGCAAGGCUGAUCCAGCCAUGCCGGGUGAGUGAUGAAGGCCUUAGGGUUGUAAAGCUCUUUUAUCCGGGACGAUAAUGACGGUACCGGAGGAAUAAGCCCCGGCUAACUUCGUG
rnacentral:rRNA from 1 species